GGCAGCGCACUGGGUGACUGAUAUCAAAGAUGAACUCCCCACUCAUAAUGCUGUUGUCCGUGCAUAAGAAGCUAGUGGCUAUUGGAAAACUGCACCCAAGCCCUUUGGACUUCCUCUUGCAUUAGAUGUAUUAGCCUACAUCCAUUCUUGUAAUAAUUUCACUGGUGUGACUGGGGCAACAUGAAAGAUUACUAGCAGUUCAGCGGGGAUAUUAUAAUUUCCUUCUAUACAUAACGGUGGAAAGAGAUCCUGUGUGAUUUCCACAAGCAGGAAGAGGCACUGCCUUCUCUUUUUCCCUCCUUCCUAGAACCUGUUUUUGCUGCUCUGUAUCCCAGGCAGUCAAGACGUAUUUUUUAGCAAAGUAACCCCGUUUUUGUCAUAAAACUUCACUGUAUACAGCAGGAACUCUUGUUUUAAAACACCUGAAAUGAAGACCCUGGAGAGGAUGGAAUGACUAAAUGACACAAAAAAUUUGCACUUUACUCAAGACAGUGGGAAAAGUGUGAGCUCUCUGUCUGUUACAAGGGACCGUGGGAGAGGACUGAGUGCAGAGGAGCUUUGCGAUGUCAAGUCUCCAGAUGGUUUCUGUCAAAGUGCUGAGAUAUGAGUAUUGGAAAAUAUGGAAAUCUAAGACCAGAACUCGCGGUCUUAAGAGCAUGAUGAGUUCUUGUUCCAACAUACCACAGCGAUUACUGCAAGAUAGAAAUGAUCCCAUUCGCACACAUCACAGGCAGGACCUCUGCAGAUCAGUGCUGCAGGAGGCACUUGGGAAGAAUAAACAACUGCAGGGUGCUUUCUUCUGUUCACACAUAUCCAGAACUUGGCUGAUGUUUUUAGGUUGAAGGGCAAUAUUCCUUGUACCGUGUCAGUGGCAAGCUGUGCUGUUUUCAAAGGCUAAGCUACAGCCCUGAGUGUUACAGGCUACAAGGGGGAAAUUAUUAUUAUUAUUAUUAUUUCUUUUUCAGGGUGAGAAGAGUUGAGCCCUUAAUUUUUUUUAAGGGAGCUCAGUUUGGCUAUCAAUUUAUUUUUUUCUUGCUCUUUCACCUGCAGACAAUUACGACUAGAAAUGUUAUUUCUUUCACUGGUCGAGGGCUAAGCAUCCAUUUGUUGGCACAGUCAGAAAACUGUCUAUCCAAGUAAUAUAAAACAAUUGUAAAGAUAUUUGCAGCCCACUUUAUUUGCUAUUACAAUGAAACAAAGAGAAUGUGAGGAAUGAGGUCUGGCUUCAUCGUUGAGCAGAGCAGGUUUCUAGAAAAUACACUUUAAUUACAUUUCUCUUUUUUGGGGGCUGUAAGGCAGAAAAAGUCUCUAAGUUUAUUCUAUAUCAGAAAGAUAACCAACAUGUAGAACCUGCAAAAAGAAUUGUUAGAUGUAAAAGUAUUAUGAACUCUGUACUUCAUCUGGGUGGUAAAAAAAAAGAUGUCUUUAUUGGUUCUAAUCAAUCAAGGCCAGGAAGAAGCAGUGCUAAAGCAAUAUCACAGCUUCUCAGAACAAGAAGCAGGAAAAUAUUUGAAAGACAAAAGCACAGAUAGGUUUUACUAACUUUCAGGUUUUAUACUGUUGCUGGUUGGAGCAGGUUGAAGGCAGAAGAUGCAUGCAAAAUUAGCCCAGAGGACAGUGCAAGGUUGAGAGCCCAACUCUUCUUGACAAGAGAGACAAAGUGAGUCAGAAGCACAGGUUACUGAGACCUUGAGACAACAUGAUUCAGAUGACAGGCUACUGAAGUUUGGAUUCAUGGACUUAG
rnacentral:lncRNA from 1 species